rnacentral:rRNA from 1 species
AGAACGAACGUUAGCGGCGUGCUUAACACAUGCAAGUCGAACGGUGAAGCCUUCGGGUGGAUCAGUGGCGAACGGGUGAGUAACACGUGAGCAAUCUGCCCUUGACUCUGGGAUAACUUCGGGAAACCGGAGCUAAUACCGGAUAUGACGCCUGGCCGCAUGGUCUGGGUGUGGAAAGAUUUAUCGGUCAAGGAUGAGCUCGCGGCCUAUCAGCUUGUUGGUGGGGUAACGGCCUACCAAGGCGACGACGGGUA